rnacentral:lncRNA from 1 species
GCCAGGUGUGAAUACAAGUUUACAAAUUUAGUUUGAUUUUUUGAAAUAAAAAAUUACCUUUCUUAAUGUUUAAAUUUGAAGCUCAAAUUAAGGUUAUUUACUUCAUAUCACUUGAGUUGUGAGAUUAGAGGCGUGGUUGUUGUGUAGUUCUUUAAACAUGAAAUCACUAUUGUUGGAAGAAACACAAAAAGGUUGAAAUAUAUGUGGAAUAUAUUCUUAGUAAGGCUCAAGUAAUUAACUUCAUUGUUGUUGGUGCGAUGGACGAAGUCAUGGAUAAAGAGGCAGAGACAGAACACGUAGAGUCCAUGGAGGAAGAAGUUAAUGUGGCUGAGAAAGAUGUUAACAUGGUUGAGGAAGAGCCCAAUGUGGUUGAGGAAGAGGGUAUCGUAGCUAAGAAGGAAAAAGAAAGGUCAACUAAAGAUAAAGUGGAUGAUAUUAAAUAAGAAAAAAUGGAAAAUGAUGAUGGGGGGUUUGGGAUGGACAAUGAGACAAUGGUACAUGGUGGUACAUGAUCUUAAAAAUAUUAAUCUUGUGUAUUGGAUAUAAGUGAAGUAGAAUGAAGAAAAGAAGAAGAAAACAAUGAAAACAAAAUUGUAUUUAAUUGAAUGUUUGUAGUGACCACUUGCACGAUACAUUGUAUUUUAUUGAUUUUAAUGCUAAGGCAGAAUGGUAUCCCUACUACUUAUUCAUAAAAUCGUGUGUAAUUGAAUGUUGUUUUACCACUUGUUAUAAGUGUAUAGGUUGAAUGUUAU